rnacentral:rRNA from 1 species
AUUGAACGCUGGCGGCAGGCUUAACACAUGCAAGUCGAACGAGUGGCGGACGGGUGAGUAAUGCUUGGGAAACUAGCUUAUGGAGGGGGAUAACUACGGGAAACUGUAGCUAAUACCGCGUACCAUAGGAUGAGCCCAAGGGGGAUUAGGUAGUUGGUGGGGUAAGGGCUCACCAAGCCGACGAUCCCUACCUGGUCUGAAGGGAUGCCCGGCAAAACGGGGACUGGAACAGGGCCCAGACUCCUAGGGGAGGCAGCGUGGGGGAAUAUUGCGCAAUGGGGGAAACCGGACGCAGCCAUGCCGGGUGAAUGAAGAGGGCUUUGGGGUUGUAAGGUUCUUUCGGUAGCGAGGCGUAAACUACGGAAGAAGCACCGGCAAACUCGGUGCAAGAGCCGCGGUAAUUC